GUGUCAUCUUAACCUUUUAAGUAUCUCUGAAUGCGAUCAAAAUUUUAACCAAGACUGACUGUGUCAGAUGAUGGGUGCCGACGAGAAAAUCGGAAAUCUGCCACCUCACAUCAUGUGAGGUGGGAAGACCCAUAAUAAAGCUGGACCACACUUUUUGGUGGCAAUCCACAUUGGAUGACAAGGAGAAAGAAAGCUUCUGCUUUUUGCCUGUUUGCCCUCAGCCUCGUUGGCUGGUUCAUCUAUCCUGUCGCCGAAGUGUUCCCUCAUUUAGUGUUGGAACGCAUUUCCUCAGGAUUCCAGUUUAGGCUGAAGAUCAGCAGCUGUCUGGGAUCCUCUGAACCCCUAGCUCCAGACUAGGACGGCUGAGACCUCCAGUCUCAUGGACUGAACAAUAACUGGAUUCUUGGCCUUUCUGUCAGAAGACAGCCAUUGUAGGAUGUGUUAGACAACAACCGAGGAACCCAGCACAGCCUGAGACACUCCGCUGCCCACCUGCUCCGUGCCAAGCCAGGGGCCAGCACACUGUGUAUCAAGGGCCAUCUGGUUAGUAUUAUAGGCUAUAAAGCUCUAUUGCCGGAGCACAACAUCAGCCAUCAUAGCAUGUAAGUGACUGAAUGUGACUGUGUGCUUAUAAAACUUUAUUUAGAGAAACAGGCAGCCUCCCACACGCAAAGGCUGCUGGUCCCAACGUGUGCUUCGCUGGUCUUCUGUCAUCAUACAUUCAUUCUAGUCAAGGCACUGGUGGCAGUCGUAGAAGACAGCCAAGGACAUUGUCAUUGCUUAAAAGCUUGUGCAACAGUCACGCCCCAUGAAUUGGAUUUCUUUAACACUUGUGGUUUGAGGAUGAAUCACAGCUUCCCACUGUCUGCAAGCAAGUUGUCUCUUGACAAAGGAAACGGCUCUUGGCAAGGCCUUUUUAUGAUAGUUCAGACUCACCAGCUAUUCUUCUAGAACUAAAUACCUUUAUUAUGUGUAAUUAGGGCAACAACCAAGCUAAGAUGCAAAUGUGUUCUUCAGCCCCCUCCUUGCCGCAGCUGGGAGCUUUGUGACCUUUUCAAAGAGGAGGUUUGUACGGAAGCACACUUCACUCAUGCUGAAAUGGGGAAGAGAAACACAGGCCAGGGAAAGGAAGAGAAGGCUGAGAUGCUCACAGGGUCACCUCCAGGCAUUCAGCUCUGCUAGUGCUCACCGGCCAGGUAGCUCCCCCACAACCCUCUCUCCCCAAGUGAUAAAGAACAAAUGGUACAGGUUGCCAACUUUAGCUUUCACUGGCUUGCUCUUUCCUAGAAUUUCUUCCAUCCCUUUGCAGGGUGGGGCUGAUGAUUUAAUGAGGCAAGGCAAUAAAAUAAGAAAAGGCUGGAGACAAGGGGGUUGAUCAUCUCCUUAUCUUUUUGACAAGGAACGGAACCCCAAAAUGUUAUCUUCUAGGACUUUCUGCUAUGUUGGAGAUACUGGCGUGUUCCCUGAAGUCCACCCAGGCUAAGGAAUAGAAUAAUUCUUCCUUCUCCACUUCUCCCUCUCCUCCUCUCGUCUUCUCCUCCUCUUCCCCAAGACAGGGUCUCAUUAUGCAGCCCUAGUUGUCCUAGAACU